GGUUGAAGGCGGGGUAAUACCUACUGGAGGACCGAACAAGUGGGUGUUAAAAAACCCUUUGAUGAACUGUGGAUAGCGGUGAAAUUCCAAUCGAACUCGGAGAUAGCUGGUUCUAUCCGAAAUACAUUUAGGUGUAGCCUUGCAAUUAGCUUACUGGAGGUAGAGCACUAUUUGGUCUAGGGGCCCUUCAAGGGUUACCAAAAUCAGAUAAACUCCGAAUGCCAGCUAAGUAUGUGCAGGAGUCAGACGGUGAGUGAUAAGAUCCAUCGUCAAAAGGGGAACAGCCCAGAUCACCAGUUAAGGUCCCUAAAUAUAUGCUAAGUGGAAAACGUUGUGAAGGUGCAUAGACAACUAGGAGGUUGGCUCAGAAGCAGCCACCCUUUAAAGAGUGCGUAAUAGCUCACUAGUCGAGUGCUCUUGCGCGGAUAAUGUACCGGGGCUAAGCAUAUUACCGAAACUGUGGAUGCGUAAGCAUGGUAGGAUAGCGUAAUUAACGCGAUGAAGGAUGACCGUAAGGACAUGUUGGAGCGUUAACUAGUGAGAAUUCCGGUAUGAGUAGCGAAAGAUAGGUGAGAAUCCUAUCCACCGAAUGAGUAAGGUUUCCCCCGGAAGGCUCGUCCGCGGGGGGUUAGUCGGGACCUAAGGCGAGGCUGAAAAGCGUAGUCGAUGGACAACAGGUUGAUAUUCCUGUACCGAUAUUUAAUUGCCGAAGGAAGGACGCAGAAGGAUAACACAGGCCACUAUUGGAUGUGGUUUUAAACAGUUAGUCUUCAUAAGAGUCAAAUGCUUUUAUGUUUAAGGAUAAGCUGUGAAUGUACCAAGUUUACUUGGAAAUUGUGUGAUUUCACGCUGCUGAAAAAAGUUUCGUAGGAAGAAAAUAUUGCCCGUACCGCAAACCGACACAGGUACUCAAGUGGAGAACACUAAGGUGAGCGAGUGAACUAUUGUUAAGGAACUCUGCAAAAUGAGUCCGUAACUUCGGAAGAAGGACUGCUGGUUUUAUACCAGCCGCAGCAAAUAGGCCCAAACAACUGUUUAUCAAAAACACAGGUUUCUGCAAAAUCGUAAGAUGAAGUAUAGGGGCUGACGCCUGCCCAGUGCUGGAAGGUUAAAAGGAGGACUUAGCUUCGGCGAAGGUCUUAAUUGAAGCCCCAGUGAACGGCGGCCGUAACUAUAACGGUCCUAAGGUAGCGAAAUUCCUUGUCGGGUAAGUUCCGACCCGCAUGAAAGGCGUAAUGAUUUGGGCGCUGUCUCAACAAUAGACUCGGUGAAAUUUAAAUUCCAGUGAAGAUGCUGGGUACCCGCGACAGGACGGAAAGACCCCGUGGAGCUUUACUGUAGCUUGAUAUUGAAUGUUUGUGCUGCAUGUGCAGGAUAGGUAGGAGACUUUGAAGUCGGAACGCUAGUUUCGAUUGAGUCACCCUUGAGAUACUACCUCUGUUGUAUGAACGUUCUAACUCUGAUCAGUUAUCCUGAUCGAAGACAGUGUCUGGCAGGCAGUUUGACUGGGGCGGUCGCCUCCUAAAAGAUAACGGAGGCGCUCAAAGGUUUGCUCAGAAUGGUUGGAAAUCAUUCGUAGCGUGUAAAGGCAUAAGCAAGCUUGACUGUGAGACUGACAAGUCGAGCAGGUACGAAAGUAGGACUUAGUGAUCCGGUGGUUCCGUAUGGAAGGGCCAUCGCUCAACGGACAAAAGCUACCCCGGGGAUAACAGGCUCAUCUCCCCCAAGAGUCCACAUCGACGGGGAGGUUUGGCACCUCGAUGUCGGCUCAUCGCAUCCUGGGGCUGUAGUCGGUCCCAAGGGUUGGGCUGUUCGCCCAUUAAAGCGGUACGCGAGCUGGGUUCAGAACGUCGUGAGACAGUUCGGUCCCUAUCCGUCGUGGGCGCAGGAAAUUUGAGAGGAUCUGUCCUUAGUACGAGAGGACCGGGAUGGACAUACCUCUGGUGUACCAGUUGUUCUGCCAAGAGCACCGCUGGGUAGCUACGUAUGGAUUAGAUAAUCGCUGAAAGCAUCUAAGUGAGAAACUAACCUCGAGAUGAGAUUUCCCAUUCGUCAGAAG
rnacentral:rRNA from 1 species